rnacentral:rRNA from 1 species
AAUCAACGCUGGCGGCGUGCCUCAGACAUGCAAGUCGAACGAUUAAAGCUCUCUUCGGAGAGUGUAUAGAGUGGCGCACGGGUGAGUAACACGUAAGUAAUCUACCUUUGAGUGGGGAAUAACAACCGGAAACGGUUGCUAAUACCGCAUAAUGCAGCGGCACCGCAAGGUGACAGUUGUUAAAGAUUUAUCGCUUGAGGAGGAGCUUGCGGCAGAUUAGCUAGUUGGUAGGGUAACGGCUUACCAAGGCUACGAUCUGUAACCGGUCUAAGAGGACGGUCGGUCACACUGACACUGAAUAACGGGUCAGACUCCUACGGGAGGCAGCAGUCGGGAAUUUUGGGCAAUGGGCGAAAGCCUGACCCAGCAACGCCGCGUGAAGGAUGAAGUAUUUCGGUAUGUAAACUUCGAAAGAAUGGGAAGAAUAAAUGACGGUACCAUUUAUAAGGUCCGGCUAACUACGUG